UACUACAAAAAUUGGUUUUACCAACCAAAUUUUAGCGGCUAUAAACAAAUUGACGCCAAUUUGUUAUGUAAGAUAAAUCUUUACCGACAAAUAAGCAAUAGCCAGCAACGAAUCUUUUUUCAAUGACAAUUGAAAUGAAUGGUCGUUAAAAAUUAUGUGUCAAGUCAACCUUUUAUUAAUUUUUCAUCUUCCCUCCAAACUUUUCCGCCGUUCCCUCCUUUACUUUUAUACAUCAGGAAGAAGUUUUGAAUUUCUUGAAAUCCCAAAAAUCGUACAUACCCUAACUCACUUCAUCUCCCUCGCUCCUCUAUGUUCUAUCUCUUUCUCUCUUCUCUAUAAGCAAAAUAAUACUUACAACUUGCAUAACGCUAGGGUUUCAAAACCCUAAGGAAGAACCAGUAGUUACCUUCUCGGAUCCUCACAGAUAUUGUUCAGGCCAGAGGGACUUGCAGAAUCCAUAAGCUUUCAUUCUUCCCCAGCAAUUGCUAAAUCUUGAAUCUUUUGACUGGGCAUCUUUAUGCAGAUUAUUUUUUGUUGAAGAUGUAUUUCUUGCGUGUUCUUCAAAUAUAAAUUUUUACUUAUUUUUUAUGUUUGGCUAGUAUUCACAGAUUUGUUUUUUUACCAUCUCCCAGGGUAUGAAGGAAUCCAAAAUAAAAUGUGUUGUGGAUUUCUUUUGUUCAUUUAUCUCAAUCCAAUACUAACCAAAAGCUAGCGUAGCUAUUUUCUUAUGUUCAUUUAUCUCAAUCCAGCCGGACACGAUGUAUAACUAUAGAAGUCACGACAUCAAAACGUAUUAUAGUCAAUUGGGUAAAGUUCUAUGGAAAAUGGAAGUGUUUGUGUAUGUGUUUGGUCAAAAUAAAAUAACUUUUGCAUCCUUUGGUACAACGAAUACCAAUUUAUUGCAUUUGGAUGUUUUAGUGGGAUCUGGAGCCAGAAGGCACGCCUCUAGUGCAAUUGAGAUAUGUUAAAUUGUUAUUGCUAUUCAGUUGAUAUUUCAUUUUUACUGCUUGAAUUCAUGUGCUAGCUGAUCGUAGCAUGCUCUUUGUCACGUGCAAAGAUUGGAUCUUGUGAAUAUAAUUUUCAGGGGAGGUAGGAUUGGGCAUAUAACUGAAAACAUAAUAUAAGGGUGUGUCCCUAGCAGAUGAUGUCUUAGAUUUGAAGAUGCUUAAAGAGUAAUUUGUGAUAGACAAUGUGGUAAGAUGAUUAGAUAGUUCCAUGUAUCAUGUUUAAUUUGUCUUGAUGAUUUCUGAGUUCUGCAAUAAAUCUAUUUGAAAAAUGAUUAAAGCUUCUUUUCUUUCCCGAUGAAGCUUAAAUUCUGUUUGCUUAUGAACCAUGGACUCUAAACGGAAGAUUCGCUAAUUUGUAGUGCAAGCCUUAUCUAGUUUGGACCUUAUUCCUCCUUGUGCUCAUACAUUAAUAUUUUAGACGUGCAUAGCUUUAUUAAAUAGUAUUAGGUACAUAAAAAAACAUCAAUAUAUCAGUGAGCUUUAUGAUUGCUUAAUUAAGUUCUAUUCUACUAUCUUGUGUGCUCUUCAGUUUUUAUUUCGUUUGGUCUAGCAGUCUGGCCACUGCUUGGAUCCUUUUUACGUAGAAAGUGUACUAUGUUGAAAAUGUCCAUCCAGGUGAAAAAGAUCUUAUACGUUUAAUAUCAAAAAGCUGCAUCUAAAGUUCUUUUUCUUAAACCUUAUCAACAACACGUUCUUGUUUUCUCUCAAUUAUGUUACUUUGGAAAAGAUACAUCUACAAAAAUUGUCUAAUAGAAUUUAGUUAGCUUGGUGUUUUUUUUUUUUUUCCUUUUCAAUUCUGACUUUGUGAGUGGUGUAGAAUCAUACAAACAUAAACUAUAAUAAAAGGUUUGGCGGCUUAUAUGUAUAGAUGGCUAAGUGAUAUAUGUGGACGUCAUGUCUUCAACUCUUUUAAAAUUGAUUAUUUAAUGAUUUUCAUAUACACUCUCUGGUGGAGUGACUUAGCAAACUUAUUCCACAGUACAUGACUUGCAAAUAUUGAAGUAAGAAUAUUUUUCAGUACUGUAUGUUGGUGUUCAAUUUUGCAUCUUAGAAGAUUCUUAUUAAGGUUUUGCCACUUCUUUGGUACUGUCCACAGAUCAUAAAUAAUAUUAUAGGACUAUACAGCUACUAAAA